CCCUUAGAUGUUCUGGGCUGCACCCGUGCUACACUGGCAGGUUCAGCGAGCUUCAUGCCCUGAUCUGAAAGGAAUGGGAAAUCUUUUCAAAACCUACCGUGCUUGGGAUAGAUGUUUGCAAUUAUUCAUCUUCAACGAGGAUUGCCUUGUAAGCGCACGUCAUCAGCGUGCAUUGAAUACGACCCUGUAUUCUGUACACACCGCCCGUCGCUCCUACCGAUUGAAGUUUUCGGUGAGUUGACAGGAGGAUUUUUUUGAAACUGGUUCGCCAGUGGAUUUUAGAUCCAAAUGCCAACGAAUCGAUGGCUUUAGAGGAAGGAGAAGUCGUAACA
rnacentral:rRNA from 1 species